CAGCCGUAAACAAUGUGCGUUAGGUGUGUCGGUAACCACGCGUUACUGAUGCGCCGAAGAGAAAUCGUGAAACGCACCACCUGGGAAGUACGGUCGCAAGGCUGAAACUUAAAGGAAUUGGCGGGGGGCGACCACAACAGGUGGAGCCUGCGGUUUAAUUUGGAUUCAACGCCGGACAUCUCACCGGAUAAGACAGCUGAAUGAUUGUCAAUCUGAAGGUUUUACAUGACUAGCUGAGAGGAGGUGCAUGGCGUCAGUGACU
rnacentral:rRNA from 1 species